rnacentral:rRNA from 1 species
GUGCCAGCAGCCGCGGUAAUACAGAGGUGGCAAGCGUUGUUCGGAAUUACUGGGCGUAAAGGGCGCGUAGGCGGUUUCGUAAGUCCCGCGUGAAAGCCCCCGGCUCAACUGGGGAAUGGCACGGGAAACUGCGAGGCUUGAGUUCGGGAGAGGGAAGCGGAAUUCCGGGUGUAGCGGUGAAAUGCGUAGAUAUCCGGAGGAACACCAGUGGCGAAGGCGGCUUCCUGGACCGACACUGACGCUGAGGCGCGAAAGCUAGGGGAGCAAACGGGAUUAGAAACCCGCGUAGUCC